GAUGAAGAACGUAGCGAAAUGCGAUACUUGGUGUGAAUUGCAGAAUCCCGUGAACCAUCGAGUCUUUGAACGCAAGUUGCGCCCGAAGCCAUUAGGCCGAGGGCACGCCUGCCUGGGCGUCAUACGUCGUUGCCCCCCCAUCUACUCCUUCGGGAUUGCGGGGGGCGGAUGAUGGCCUCCCGUGCGCCUCGUCGCGCGGUUGGCAUAAAUGCCAAGUCCUCGGCGACGCACGCCACGACAAUCGGUGGUUGCGAAACCUCGGUUGCCCGUCGUGUGCGGUCAUCGCGCAUCGAGGGCUCGAAAAAAUUGCCGGGCUCCGGCUCGGCUUUCAACGCGACCCCAGGUCAGGCGGGGUUACCCGCUGAAUUUAAGCAUAUCAAUAAGCGGAGGA
rnacentral:misc_RNA from 1 species